rnacentral:rRNA from 1 species
CCUACGGGAGGCUGCAGUGGGGAAUAUUGCACAAUGGGCGCAAGCCUGAUGCAGCCAUGCCGCGUGUGUGAAGAAGGCCUUCGGGUUGUAAAGCACUUUCAGCGGGGAGGAAGGCGGUGAGGUUAAUAACCUCAUCGAUUGACGUUACCCGCAGAAGAAGCACCGGCUAACUCCGUGCCAGCAGCCGCGGUAAUACGGAGGGUGCAAGCGUUAAUCGGAAUUACUGGGCGUAAAGCGCACGCAGGCGGUCUGUCAAGUCGGAUGUGAAAGCCCCGGGCUCAACCUGGGAACUGCAUUCGAAACUGGCAGGCUAGAGUCUUGUAGAGGGGGGUAGAAUUCCAGGUGUAGCGGUGAAAUGCGUAGAGAUCUGGAGGAAUACCGGUGGCGAAGGCGGCCCCCUGGACAAAGACUGACGCUCAGGUGCGAAAGCGUGGGGAGCAAACAGGAUUAGAUACCCCAGUAGUC